rnacentral:lncRNA from 1 species
GUGGAGCUUGAAGACGAAAACCCCUUUGUUGAAAAGCUUUAGAAGAGCCUUGAGGUUCAGACAAUUGAGCCAUCUAACUCACAAUUGCCCAAUUUCAUACACACAAACAGAUCUGUUCGGAUUCAGAUCUGUUCUUGUGGGUUGAAGGAAGAAGGGGGUGGAUGGUUGCGGUGGGGGAAAGAGAGAGAAGCAGAGAAAUCUGUACCAGGUGCGGUGGCCAUGGUGGUGCGGAGCCAUGGUGAUGUGGUGGUGGUGGAGGUGGGGUGGUGAUGGUGGUGUGCUUAAAAAAGUUGGGGCUGUUAUAAGCUUUAGUUGUGAGAGUUCAUUGUAAUCAAUUUCUUUCAAUUCUUCGUUGUAAAACAAUCUGUGAUGACUAGUGAACAAAGAUGGAAUCAUUUGAGUGUUGAAUUCUUGUUCUUGAACGUUGAAUUCUUGUUCUU